rnacentral:lncRNA from 1 species
AUAACUUGUAUUAUACUACUUGUAAUGCUUGUAGUCUGGAACAUAUGAUAAUUGAAGCAAAUAAGUUUUAAUUAACAUUUAAUAAAGUAAAGUUAGAACAAUUACAAUAUUAUGAUUCUUGUAGAAAUAUUGAAUUACUGUCAUUUGCAUAUAUUUGAUAAACCAGUUGAAGUUCAUGUAAUUAUUUACCAGUUCAUAGUAAUAAUCCACUGAAUAAUCCAACUGUAUGUCUUGUAUUUUUGUGAAGAUCCAAUUGUAGCAAACUGUAGUAGAAUCGUAGUAAAUCGUAGUAAAUUCCACGCACCUGUGCUUGAAUUUUAUGAAUGAAAUGUAUUGACAUGCGCAGUAGAAUCCAUGUGUCACUUGGGACGAUUGUUCAAUAAAAACACUAUUUUUACGUGUUGGCAACUGUUUUCACAUACUUCUUGUAAUUCCUUUUAGUAUUUGUAGUCAACGUCUUCAAUGUUUUGUAGAUGUUAAUGCUCACUAUCCUUGAUAUUUAUCAUUUUGGUCCGCCGGUGACACACAUAACUUUUCGCAAUGUUGUUUACGUAUUGUGACUUCCGGUGGCGCUGUAUAUAUUGUUGUAUUUUUAGUUACUAUAGAAAUUUGUUUAGUACCAUGCAAACUUUGUUUAUUAUAUAAAGGUUACUAAAAUUGUAUAUUAUUGUGAUUUUUGUAAUUUAUUUAAGAAUUCGAAUAUUUGGUUGGACGGCAAGCGCGCGAUCCAACAAUCCAACCAACUCCAACCAAUCCAACAUUGACGUAAUUUCGACGCUUGGUCGUCAGUUCUGCUUAAACUUUUGGUUCUUACAGUUGGUAUUUUUAUUUGCUCGUUAUUUAUUUUAGUCAAAAUGGUUAAUUUUUCUUAGAAACUUCAUUUAUUUAAAAGGUUAAAUUGUAAAGGAAAAUAGUAAAGUUAGCGUUUUCA